rnacentral:rRNA from 1 species
UGGGGGAUAUUGCACAAUGGGCGAAAGCCUGAUGCAGCGACGCCGCGUGGGGGAUGAAGGCUUUCGGGUUGUAAACCUCUUUCGCUAUCGAACAAGGCCCGCUUAGGGUGGGUUGAGGGUAUGUGGAGAAGAAGCGCCGGCUAACUACGUGCCAGCAGCCGCGGUAAUACGUAGGGCGCGAGCGUUGUCCGGAAUUAUUGGGCGUAAAGGGCUUGUAGGCGGCUUGUUGCGCCUGCUGUGAAGACGCGGGGCUUAACUUCGCGCGUGCAGUGGGUACGGGCAGGCUUGAGUGUGGUAGGGGUGACUGGAAUUCCAGGUGUAGCGGUGGAAUGCGCAGAUAUCUGGAGGAACACCGAUGGCGAAGGCAGGUCACUGGGCCAUUACUGACGCUGAGGAGCGAAAGCAUGGGUAGCGAACAG